AUUGAACGCUGGCGGCAGGCCUAACACAUGCAAGUCGAGCGAGCGGCGGACGGGUGAGUAAUGUCUGGGAAACUGCUUGAUGGAGGGGGAUAACUACUGGAAACGGUAGCUAAUACCGCAUACCAUCAGAUGUGCCCAGAUGGGAUUAGCUGGUAGGUGGGGUAAUGGCUCACCUAGGCAACGAUCCCUAGCUGGUCUGAGAGGAUGACCAGCCACACUGGAACUGGGACACGGUCCAGAGUCCGACGGGAGGCAGCGUUGGGGAAUAUUGCACAAUGGGCGCAAGCCUGAUGCAGCCAAGCCGAGGGUAUGAAGAAGGCCUUCGGGUUGUAAAGUACUUUCAGCGGGGAGGCGUUACUCGCAGAAGAAGCACCGGCUAACUCCGUGCCAGCAGCCGCGGUAAUAC
rnacentral:rRNA from 1 species